rnacentral:rRNA from 1 species
UGGGGAAUAUUGCACAAUGGGCGCAAGCCUGAUGCAGCCAUGCCGCGUGUGUGAAGAAGGCCUUCGGGUUGUAAAGCACUUUCAGCGAGGAGGAAGGUGGUGAGCUUAAUACGCUCAUCAAUUGACGUUACUCGCAGAAGAAGCACCGGCUAACUCCGUGCCAGCAGCCGCGGUAAUACGGAGGGUGCAAGCGUUAAUCGGAAUUACUGGGCGUAAAGCGCACGCAGGCGGUUUGUUAAGUCAGNUGUGAAAUCCCCGGGCUCAACCUGGGAACUGCAUUUGAAACUGGCAAGCUAGAGUCUCGUAGAGGGGGGUAGAAUUCCAGGUGUAGCGGUGAAAUGCGUAGAGAUCUGGAGGAAUACCGGUGGCGAAGGCGGCCCCCUGGACGAAGACUGACGCUCAGGUGCGAAA